rfam:Stegodyphus mimosarum contig74605, whole genome shotgun sequence.
GCCUUUGUGGUGUAGUGGUCAGCAUGCUGGGCGCGUCUUUCAGAGGUCCGUGUUUCGAGUCCCGGCAAGGGCA